rnacentral:rRNA from 1 species
CGAAAUGCGAUAAGUAGUGUGAAUUGCAGAAUUCAGUGAAUCAUCGAAUCUUUGAACGCACCUUGCA